rnacentral:rRNA from 1 species
AACGAACGCUGGCGGCAGGCCUAACACAUGCAAGUCGAACGCUCUCUUCGGAGGGAGUGGCAGACGGGUGAGUAACGCGUGGGAAUCUACCCAGCUCUACGGAAUAACGCAUGGAAACGUGUGCUAAUACCGUAUACGCCCCAUGGGGGAAAGAUUUAUCGGAGUUGGAUGAGCCCGCGUCUGAUUAGCUAGUUGGUGAGGUAAUGGCUCACCAAGGCGACGAUCAGUAGCUGGUCUGAGAGGAUGACCAGCCACACUGGGACUGAGACACGGCCCAGACUCCUACGGGAGGCAGCAGUGGGGAAUAUUGGACAAUGGGCGCAAGCCUGAUCCAGCCAUGCCGCGUGAGUGAUGACGGCCUUAGGGUUGUAAAGCUCUUUCACCGGUGAAGAUAAUGACGGUAACCGGAGAAGAAGCCCCGGCUAACUUCGUGCCAGCAGCCGCGGUAAAGUAGACGU